rnacentral:lncRNA from 1 species
AUGGAAAGCACAGUGUAAAAAGGAGAGGUUCUAAUUACAAUGAUGUAAUAACAAGGUCUUGCCUGGGUGGCGUCAAGCAGGAAUCCUGUUUCCUAGCCAGCUGGUUCCUAGGUCUCUAACUGCAGGAGACGGCACGCUUUGCGGGGAUGCCUCCAGGACCGCACAUUGGACAAUUCUAAGUGACUCAGUUCUGCAUAACAAACACAAGAUGCUGCUCUCCUGGAGAUGGCUGGGGCCCAAGAGAUGAAGUGGAGACACCUGGCUGGGCUUCUAAGCCCCUUCCUGCAUCACCUUUGCUACCAAAUUGGCUAAAGCAACUAAAGCCAGGACUCCUGGGCCCUGGGACUGCAGGAGGGCUGAGAUACUAGAGGGGAACAAGGACCGGCUCCCAGCAUGGUGCUGGGGACAGGCAGCGGCAGGAGAGCUGCCCUCCAGGAUGUGUAGCUCCAAGACGCCAGGCAGCGAUUUCUGCACAGGAAGAAGGACGGCGGACAGGCCUGUGAACAUGAUCUCCUCUCCCUUGAGGGAGGAAGCUCCCGCCAGUGCGGCUGGUGAUUAAUAGGCUCUGAGCACCCCAACCCCUGUCAGGGACAUCAAGGUAAGUGCCCUGUGCAGGCUGCGGCUCUGUGGAUGAAUAAAUAAUAGCAGCAGCACAGUAAUGGGAUCCGGGGAGGCCUCUCAGGAUAAUGGAGCCACAGACGUGGCGUCAGAGCCCCAGGGACCUGAGCGCCCAAAAAGCUGCCAGA